AAAAAUGGUUUAUAUGUUAAUGGACUCAAUAUAUACAAACAGCUGCCUACAUAAUUAUCGAGGAGCUUGGCAUACAAUACACAUAUCACAUACAGAAGUCACAGACAACCAGUUGCAGCAAGACGUCGUUUCGGUUUUGCAAUCUGUGGACUCAAUCAUCUGUAAUAAAGAGAGAAUUGGUGGCAAGUUUCAAGAAAUGAUCUUUCCAUUCACCAGGACCAGCGAAAGGCAAAAGACCACAGCUCAGUGGCAGAAACAAGAGCACUACAGUAUAGAAAAGAAUUCGCCGGAACCAAUAUGGACAUAUCGCAUUGGAUUUUAUCCCUUCAGAGAUGGUGACAGGCCCAUGAAUUACAUAGAACAAUGUCGAUGUAAAGACAUUUGAGAAGAAGUGCAGCAAGCACAAAGUCUCC
rnacentral:misc_RNA from 1 species